rnacentral:tRNA from 1 species
GCCUAGGUGGUGAAAUGGUAGACACAGGGGACUCAAAAUCCCCCGCCUAAUAAGCGUGAGAGUUCGAAUCUCUCCCUAGGCA